UAGGGAAUAUUGCACAAUGGGCGAAAGCCUGAUGCAGCAACGCCGCGUGUGUGAUGAAGGCCUUCGGGUCGUAAAGCACUUUUCUGGGAGAUGAGAAAGGACAGUAUCCCAGGAAUAAGUCUCGGCUAACUACGUGCCAGCAGCCGCGGUAAAACGUAGGAGGCGAGCGUUAUCCGGAUUCACUGGGCGUAAAGCGCGUGCAGGUGGCGCGGUAAGUUGGGCGUGAAAUCUCCCGGCUCAACUGGGAGAGGUCGUCCAAUACUACCGUGCUUGAGAGCAGAAGAGGAAGAUGGAAUUCCCGGUGUAGUGGUGAAAUGCGUAGAUAUCGGGAGAACACCAGUGGCGAAGGCGAUCUUCUGGUCCGUUCUGACACUCAGACGCGACAGCUAGGGUAUAAACGGGGAUUAGAGACCCCGGUAAUCCUAGCCGUAAACGAUGUGAACUUGGCGUUGGUGGGUUAAACUCCAUCAGUGCCGUAGCAAACGCGAUAAG
rnacentral:rRNA from 1 species